AGUAAAAAGUAGAAUAAUAGAUUUGAAAUAUUUAUUAUAUAGAUUUAAAGAGAUAAUCAUGGAGUAUAAUAAUUAAAUUUAAUAAAUUUAAUAUAACUAUUAAUAGAAUUAGGUUACUAAUAAAUUAAUAACAAUUAAUUUUAAAACCUAAGGGUAAACCUUUAUAUUAAUAAUGUUAUUUUUUAUUAUAUUUAUAAUAAGAAUAAUUAUUAAUAAUAAUAAACUAAGUGAACUGAAACAUCUAAGUAACUUAAGGAUAAGAAAUCAACAGAGAUAUUAUGAGUAUUGGUGAGAGAAAAUAAUAAAGGUCUAAUAAGUAUUAUGUGAAAAAAAUGUAAGAAAAUAGGAUAACAAAUUCUAAGACUAAAUACUAUUAAUAAGUAUAGUAAGUACCGUAAGGGAAAGUAUGAAAAUGAUUAUUUUAUAAGCAAUCAUGAAUAUAUUAUAUUAUAUUAAUGAUGUACCUUUUGUAUAAUGGGUCAGCAAGUAAUUAAUAUUAGUAAAACAAUAAGUUAUAAAUAAAUAGAAUAAUAUAUAUAUAUAAAAAAAUAUAUUAAAAUAUUUAAUUAAUAUUAAUUGACCCGAAAGCAAACGAUCUAACUAUGAUAAGAUGGAUAAACGAUCGAACAGGUUGAUGUUGCAAUAUCAUCUGAUUAAUUGUGGUUAGUAGUGAAAGACAAAUCUGGUUUGCAGAUAGCUGGUUUUCUAUGAAAUAUAUGUAAGUAUAGCCUUUAUAAAUAAUAAUUAUUAUAUAAUAUUAUAUUAAUAUUAUAUAAAGAAUGGUACAGCAAUUAAUAUAUAUUAGGGAACUAUUAAAGUUUUAUUAAUAAUAUUAAAUCUCGAAAUAUUUAAUUAUAUAUAAUAAAGAGUCAGAUUAUGUGCGAUAAGGUAAAUAAUCUAAAGGGAAACAGCCCAGAUUAAGAUAUAAAGUUCCUAAUAAAUAAUAAGUGAAAUAAAUAUUAAAAUAUUAUAAUAUAAUCAGUUAAUGGGUUUGACAAUAACCAUUUUUUAAUGAACAUGUAACAAUGCACUGAUUUAUAAUAAAUAAAAAAAAUAAUAUUUAAAAUCAAAUAUAUAUAUAUAUAUUUGUUAAUAGAUAAUAUACGGAUCUUAAUAAUAAGAAUUAUUUAAUUCCUAAUAUGGAAUAUUAUAUUUUUAUAAUAAAAAUAUAAAUACUGAAUAUCUAAAUAUUAUUAUUACUUUUUUUUUUAAUAAUAAUAAUAUGGUAAUAGAACAUUUAAUGAUAAUAUAUAUUAGUUAUUAAUUAAUAUAUGUAUUAAUUAAAUAGAGAAUGCUGACAUGAGUAACGAAAAAAAGGUAUAAACCUUUUCACCUAAAACAUAAGGUUUAACUAUAAAAGUACGGCCCCUAAUUAAAUUAAUAAGAAUAUAAAUAUAUUUAAGAUGGGAUAAUCUAUAUUAAUAAAAAUUUAUCUUAAAAUAUAUAUAUUAUUAAUAAUUAUAUUAAUAAUAUAUAUAAUUAUAUUAUAUAUUUUUUUUUAUAUAAUAUAAACUAAUAAAGAUCAGGAAAUAAUUAAUGUAUACCGUAAUGUAGACCGACUCAGGUAUGUAAGUAGAGAAUAUGAAGGUGAAUUAGAUAAUUAAAGGGAAGGAACUCGGCAAAGAUAGCUCAUAAGUUAGUCAAUAAAGAGUAAUAAGAACAAAGUUGUACAACUGUUUACUAAAAACACCGCACUUUGCAGAAACGAUAAGUUUAAGUAUAAGGUGUGAACUCUGCUCCAUGCUUAAUAUAUAAAUAAAAUUAUUUAACGAUAAUUUAAUUAAAUU
rnacentral:rRNA from 1 species